ensembl:lncRNA
GGGGGGCGAUGCACAACCUGGCAUGAGGGGAGACUGUGUCUACAGGAAGGGUGAAGGGUCACUGUGGUUGGGGGUCAUUUGAAUGAGCUCGGAGCGGCGGCUGGGCUCGUACUCCGGCCUGCUGGCCUCUGACGACGGAGAGUCCAAGCGCGCCAAGCUCUCCUACAGCAGCAGCACUGCAGCGUAUCCCCGGAGCAGCCUGGGCUCCUCCACUACCCCCGGGUCCCUGUACUCCAGCAGCAGGCUGACCAGUAGCACAGAUUCUAGUGACCGGACAGACGCCGCUCUCCGGCGCUCCACUGGUCUCUCCGCUGGCCUCUCCUCCUCCAGACCUUCAUCGACCUCCUCCUCCUCCUCAUCGUGGUCUUCCUCGCCCAGCUACCUGUCGGCCCGGCGGGACGCGGAGAGGAGGGCGGAGCUCCGGUCCGAGCUGACGGACGGA